UAGUAAGAAAAAUGAUAUUAUAAAAAAUAUUAUAGUAAGAAAAUCUUUUUUUAUUAAAUGUAUUUUUUAUUAAUUUAAAACUUUGAAAUGUUGACCUUUGUGUUGUUUUUUAAGACGCUGAAUGAAAUUUGGAAGAAGGACAAUACGGAAUGGCCAAGUUUAAUUACACUCAAGUAAUUAAAUUCAAAACUUGCUUACGCAGACGUAAUUGUCGUUGUCCCUUUAAGAAAAUUUCCCUCGCUUGGCUCGAGUAGUUCAUUUGUGGGUAUCGAGUAUUCUGGCGUGCUCGGACAGAACGUCGAACGGUUUUCAACGCGAAUUAUGUUUUGGAGUUCAUUUUUCUCAGGUAAAUGCCAAAUAAUGUUCUAUAAGCUUAUUUUUACACGUGUGUCGCCAUGUUCGAUUGAUUUUGGUGUUUCCCCUACUGAGCCCGUCAAAAGUGCUUGCGUCAGACUGGCUGGUGUCCGUUGGUCUACAGGAUGGAGCUGCUAGAAUGUCUACAGCUCACUUAAUAAAGGAGUUAAUACAAUUUGGUAUCGAAGUCACUGAAGAGGAGAGGAAAAUAUUGAAAUAAAAUCAGCCUGGCAGCAGCUUUUCUUGCCGUUUUUGAAGUUCUGAAGUUUCCAUUUGACAUUCAGGCCAAGUUGGACGAAAAGAAUGCUGACUUACUUCAGACCAAAACAAAAUUAUUAGAACAUUGCAUGAAAGCAUGGCUCAGUACAAAAUGUAUCCAACUAAUGAAGAGUAUGUUCAAGUGGCUAAGGCCCUGACUCUGAGGUAUCCCUUUUUAAAAGACAAUCUCGAAUGAGGAGGCCCUUUAGCAGAGCCGCACAAAGAAGAAUCUCUCAUUGAAGACCAUCUUGGAAUUGAUUUUAAAGCAGCACUUCUCAUGUUGCCAGCCUUGUUCAGAGAGAAACUUGAGCAUUUCAUUGAGCUUGGAGAGUUAAAGUGAACCAUCUUCACCAUAUCCAACUGUUCAAGUACAGGAGACCACUGACUGGAAAACUGUGAUUACAAGAAGAGUCACUGCAGUCAGCAGAGUUAAUGGGAUCGAGCGGUGUGGAUGAAGGGGCUCUUGCAGUAUUUUGUGCUUAUUUCGUCUUCAAUUUGACAUAUCCAUCUCAUUUGAAGAACGCUCUGAUGUUGUUAUUAUUAUUCAUACUGUGUGAAAUGUGAGCAUGAAUGGACUGUCCUCUCGCCAGGUGAAGAGGUUGAUUACCAGGCGUUAGAUGUUGAUGACAAGUAAUGUUAAUGACAAGUUAUUUAUUAGCACUAGAUAUUUUUGCUGAAGACAAACUGCUGUAAACGUGCCGUAUUUAAUGUAGCCUGUGUAAUAAGGUGUAUAUCAAUGUUAAACAGUAGGUUUUUUUUUUUUAUUGAAGAGCUAUU